AGCGAACGCUGGCGGCAGGCCUAACACAUGCAAGUCGAACGAACCUUUCGGGGUUAGUGGCGGACGGGUGAGUAACACGUGGGAACGUGCCUUUAGGUUCGGAAUAACUCAGGGAAACUUGUGCUAAUACCGAAUGUGCCCUUCGGGGGAAAGAUUAAUCGCCUUUAGAGCGGCCCGCGUCUGAUUAGCUAGUUGGUUGAGGUAAUGGCUCACCAAGGCGACGAUCAGUAGCUGUCUGAGAGGAUGAUCAGCCACAUUGGGACUGAGACACGGCCCAAACUCCUACGGGAGGCAGCAGUGGGGAAUCUUGCGCAAUGGGCGAAAGCCUGACGCAGCCAUGCCGCGUGAAUGAUGAAGGUCUUAGGAUUGUAAAAUUCUUUCACCGGGGACGAUAAUGACGGUACCCGGAGAAGAAGCCCCGGCUAACUUCGUG
rnacentral:rRNA from 1 species